GAUGAACGCUGGCGGCGUGCCUAAUACAUGCAAGUCGAGCGAACAGACGAGGAGCUUGCUCCUCUGACGUUAGCGGCGGACGGGUGAGUAACACGUGGAUAACCUACCUAUAAGACUGGGAUAACUUCGGGAAACCGGAGCUAAUACCGGAUAAUAUAUUGAACCGCAUGGUUCAAUAGUGAAAGACGGUUUUGCUGUCACUUAUAGAUGGAUCCGCGCCGCAUUAGCUAGUUGGUAAGGUAACGGCUUACCAAGGCAACGAUGCGUAGCCGACCUGAGAGGGUGAGCGGCCACACGGGAACUGAGACACGGUCCAGACUCCUACGGGAGGCAGCAGUAGGGAAUCUUCCGCAAAGGGCGAAAGCCUGACGGAGCAACGCCGCGUGAGUGAUGAAGGUCUUCGGAUCGUAAAACUCUGUUAUUAGGGAAGAACAAAUGUGUAAGUAACUAUGCACGUCUUGACGGUACCUAAUCAGAAAGCCACGGCUAACUACGUG
rnacentral:rRNA from 1 species